rnacentral:rRNA from 1 species
GACGAACGCUGGCGGCGUGCUUAACACAUGCAAGUCGAGCGGAAAGGCCCUGCUUUUGUGGGGUGCUCGAGUGGCGAACGGGUGAGUAACACGUGAGUAACCUGCCCUUGACUUUGGGAUAACUUCAGGAAACUGGGGCUAAUACCGGAUAGGAGCUCCUGCUGCAUGGUGAGGGUUGGAAAGUUUCGGCGGUUGGGGAUGGACUCGCGGCUUAUCAGCUUGUUGGUGGGGUAGUGGCUUACCAAGGCUUUGACGGGUAGCCGGCCUGAGAGGGUGACCGGCCACAUUGGGACUGAGAUACGGCCCAGACUCCUACGGGAGGCAGCAGUGGGGAAUAUUGCACAAUGGGCGGAAGCCUGAUGCAGCAACGCCGCGUGCGGGAUGACGGCCUUCGGGUUGUAAACCGCUUUCGCCUGUGACGAAGCGUGAGUGACGGUAAUGGGUAAAGAAGCACCGGCUAACUACGUG